rnacentral:tRNA from 4 species
GCUGGGGUAGCUCAGUUGGUAGAGCAGCUCACUCGUAAUGAGAAGGUCGCAGGUUCGAUUCCCGCUCUCAGCACCA